CGGCAACACUGCGUAUGUUUACGACGACGGACACAAUCAGCAACUUCACCACUUCUGGAAACGACACUACGUUGACCAUCACCAGGGUCGUGACAACAAUAACCGUAACGGUUACAACGAUAACGUCUGGAAUAACUCUCACAACCACCACGACGACGACGACCAGCACAACAACGGACCACUCGGUGACGUUACUACGUACUCCCGCCGUUCCGCGAACCCCUCUGGACUGGAAAAUCCUUUCAUCAGUUCUCUCUUCGGAAGAUCUCUGCAAGUUCUCCUUCUACCAGAGCUAUGUAGCCAAGGCUUUUGACUUGGAACCCCUCAUUGCUGAUAUUAGGAAAGCGCAAAGGCAGACAACAUGUGAACACACUGGAACGUGCCUUGGGAUGUCCGCUACAUCCAUCGCUGCAGCUACCAAAGAGAAAUUGAUGCACGGCUUCUGGCAUACGAAUGUCUGCCAUUCCUUUGACGGACGCCACAACGCGACCAAUGGUAUCAUCGAAGCCCCGUCAAUUGACUUGCC